rnacentral:rRNA from 1 species
GGCGAACGCUGGCGGCGUGCUUAACACAUGCGAGUCGAACGGAAAGGCCCUGCUUUUGUGGGGUGCUCGAGUGGCGAACGGGUGAGUAACACGUGAGUAACCUGCCCUUGACUUUGGGAUAACUUCAGGAAACUGGGGCUAAUACCGGAUAGGAGCUCCUGCUGCAUGGUGGGGGUUGGAAAGUUUCGGCGGUUGGGGAUGGACUCGCGGCUUAUCAGCUUGUUGGUGGGGUAGUGGCUUACCAAGGCUUUGACGGGUAGCCGGCCUGAGAGGGUGACCGGCCACAUUGGGACUGAGAUACGGCCCAGACUCCUACGGGAGGCAGCAGUGGGGAAUAUUGCACAAUGGGCGGAAGCCUGAUGCAGCAACGCCGCGUGCGGGAUGACGGCCUUCGGGUUGUAAACCGCUUUCGCCUGUGACGAAGCGUGAGUGACGGUAAUGGGUAAAGAAGCACCGGCUAACUGCGUG